rnacentral:rRNA from 1 species
CCCUUAGAUGUUCUGGGCUGCACGCGCGCUACACUGAAGCGUUCAACGAGUAUUCACCUUGCCCGGGAGGGUUGGGUAAUCUUUUGAAAACGCUUCGUGAUGGGGAUAGAUUAUUGCAAUUAUUAAUCUUCAACGAGGAAUUCCUAGUAAGCGCGAGUCAUCAGCUCGUGCUGAUUACGUCCCUGCCCUUUGUACACACCGCCCGCCGCUCCUACCGAUUGAGUGAUCCGGUGAAUAAUUCGGACUGCAGCACUGCUUGGUCUCCAGGCUUUGCAGCGGAAAGUUUAGUGAACCUUAUCACUUAGAGGAAGGAGAANUCGUANCA